ACCCUCAUGUGAAACUUUCAACAUAUUUCUCUAUUUAGGUGUAACCACACCUUCCCUCACACUCAAUAGAUUCUUAUAUAGAUAAAGAGAUGUGUUGAAAGUUUAACAUGACGGGU
rnacentral:pre_miRNA from 1 species